CGUAACAAGGUCUCCGUAGGUGAACCUGCGGAGGGAUCAUUACACAAAUAUGAAGGCGGGCUGGAACCUCUCGGGGUUACAGCCUUGCUGAAUUAUUCACCCUUGUCUUUUGCGUACUUCUUGUUUCCUUGGUGGGUUCGCCCACCACUAGGACAAACAUAAACCUUUUGUAAUUGCAAUCAGCGUCAGUAACAAAUUAAUAAUUACAACUUUCAACAACGGAUCUCUUGGUUCUGGCAUCGAUAAAGAACGCAGCGAAAUGCGAUAAGUAGUGUGAAUUGCAGAAUUCAGUGAAUCAUCGAAUCUUUGAACGCACAUUGCGCCCUUUGGUAUUCCAAAGGGCAUGCCUGUUCGAGCGUCAUUUGUACCCUCAAGCUUUGCUUGGUGUUGGGCGUCUUGUCUCUAGCUUUGCUGGAGACUCGCCUUAAAGUAAUUGGCAGCCGGCCUACUGGUUUCGGAGCGCAGCACAAGUCGCACUCUCUAUCAGCAAAGGUCUAGCAUCCAUUAAGCCUUUUUCAACUUUUGACCUCGGAUCANGUAGGGAUACCCGCUGAACUUAAGCAUAUCA
rnacentral:rRNA from 1 species